rnacentral:rRNA from 1 species
AUGAAAAGUUCGGCGUACAAAAAUCAGAACAGAAACGCGCAUCAGAUGGCGAGGUCGCCCUCCGGCGUCGGUGGAGUCGGCGUGCGCGGGCUUGAUGGGGUCUCUGUGCUUGGCGGCGUGGCUUCUGCGCUGCGGGCAGUCUCGGCGGCAUCAUCGGUCGGGCUUGUUGGCGGCGUGGCUUCUGCGCUGCGGGCAGUCUCGGCGGCAUCAUCGGUCGGGCUUGUUGGCGGCGUCCGCGUGCGCGUGGGCAUGGGCGGCGUCGUCGUGGGCGUGGGCGUGGGCGGCGUCGUCGAGGGAAUCUGGUCCAGGAUGAGGCCGACAUGCGCCCUGUACCACGCCUUGACCGCCUCGUCGGUGCUCUGA